GGACCCUACUGAGUCUGGAUGCCAUGACUCGUAAAAAAACUAUUUGCUAGUAUAAUAAACUCCAUUAAUGUAAUUGAUAGUGAUAUUUAUUACAACCUUCACUGUUGUUGAUAGGUUGCUUGGACUAUAUUCACAUCUAAUUAAGCUAUUGAAACUUUCCAAGAAAACUGAAAUAAUUUUCUAGUUAGACUUUAUAGAUCUUUUUUAUGUGU
rnacentral:misc_RNA from 1 species